UUAUGAUCAUACAUAUGGCAUAUUGUUAAACUUGGUGAUAUAAUAUGCAAAUUUAUAUUAUAUUGGUAAUAAACGUUAGGAUUUCCACAAUUUAAAACUGUCAAAAGAUUUUUCGGACAGUAGAACAGUAGACAAUCCGUGUAUUGCAUUGGAUUUUAGUAAAUUGAAAACGAAAUAACAGGUAUUAAUUUUAAAAUGUUUUUCUUUUAUGUGAUUAUUUUCAUUUUCACAGAAAUUAUUCUUAAUGCUCAUUACUGACAACUUAUUAUUACACGUAACCCUGCAUCAUUUAUGUGUAAUACAAUUACAGUAAAUACUGUGAUAGUAGUAUAACUGAAAUGAAUUGUAUUUAACAUUAAUGUAUUAUAUUUGAUUAAAAUACUACUAAAAUUAAUAUUUUUGUUCUCAAACACAUAUUUUAUAAAAUUAUUCAAUAUUAUAGGUAAAUUAUUCAUUUAUAGUGCAAUAACAAACAUAUUUAUCCAAACUUGUAAUUUGCCUACAUAAUAUAUAAACUACUGGUCUGAUGUUUAAUUAUACAAUUGGUGCAUAAUUAAGGACAGGUUUUAUUAUUAUAAUUUAUUUAAAUAGCUAUUUUAUUCUAUUCACAGUAUUCAACGACAAAAAUUAAAGUAGAUGUAUCUAUCAUGG